CUUGCACGGACCAAGGACAUGUAUGUCUAUCUGGAAUUAUGAGGUUCUAGGCUUGGCUGUGUGAAGAUCAAAGCAGAGGAAGCCACACAAUGCAGAGAAUCAACAGUGGAGCUAUGCCUAGUGAGAAGCAAAGAGACACUGGAUGGCCUGAGAGGGAAAGAGACUGAGAAAAGCUGUCAGCUUUUAGUUCCUGGUUCCAGUCCUUUGUGACGGCCAGCUUGAUUAGAGAGAAAAGGUCAUUUGGAAAAUAUAGCCAUUUUUGGAAGACUGAGCAGCCAAGGUUCUUAAGUAUAGGAGAUUGGGACAAAACAAAAAAAAGGUUUAUAACAGUUCACUACUUCAUCUACAUCCUCAAGCCAACACCUAUGAAAAAGAUAAUGGUGUCCGAUGACAGGCCUCUGCUAACAGUGUAAGGCUAUCUGUGAACUCCUCAGUCUACACAUAUCUUCCUCAGCCUCUGGGAUUCCAUUUCCACCCAAGAAUUAAAUUGAUAGAAAGAAAAACAGCAAAAUAUACACAUAUUUUUCCACUAUUAAAUCCAAUAAUGAUGACUUAAUUUCAGCAAAACAUCAUCAAUCGCAUUAAAUUAAUGUUGCUGUUAAUUUGAAUUUUAUGGGUUUUAUAGUUUUGUUUUGGAUUGUAGAUGUAAAUCUGUUUUAGUUUUAUAGCUGUAAAAAGUGAUAGGCAUAAAGAGUUACACUUAGUUUUAUAUCUGUACAUAUAUUAGUAACAUUAUUUUUAUUAUCAUUCAAGUCCAUAUUGGAGUAUCACAAGAAUUUUUUUUCCUAAGUUUGAAGUUGUUUCCUUUAUACGUUUUUUUGUAAGUUACAUUUGUACCCCAAGUUUCAUCAUCCUAUUAUCCCCACUUUAGACAUAAAGAACAGGCCCCUAAGAAAGCUUCAGAAACUUGCUCUGACCAUUCAGUCAUCAGAUCAGAACUCUGCAUCAAUCCAAAUGUUACCUGGUAUGCCAGGAUAAGAACUAAGAACAGAAUGGCUCUGCCUCCAGCACACCAAGAGGAAAUAGCCUGGUUCAAUUAAGUUUUCCAAGAUUAGAAAGCUUUUCAAAUAUCCAAUGUAUUCCUAAUGCCCUAAAGUGUAGGCAAAAAUUGUACUAUUAUU
rnacentral:lncRNA from 10 species